AGUCCUUGGCGACGGCUCUGAAAGGAAGAAAACACACAAAGAAGAAGAAAGAGAAAUUUUCGAUCAUUUACCUUGCCAAAUUCUCUCUCUUCUUCUUCUGCCACUUAAAGAACAAGAGAAGAAAACUUGGUUAGGGUUUUUCUGGCUUGGCUUUGAUCCCAUGCUGUCUCCCCCACUGUAGCGGCGGGAUUCCACCGUCAAAUGUCUCUACUCCAAUCCUCCACCGUUGAUUGCCCCUCUCAACGCUCAUCCACCACUGCCGCGCCCGUCGUCACCGGGCACGAUCACCGCGUCUCGUCCAAGCGCAAAUUGGACGAUUACGCGCCGACUUUGGAAGACGAUGACGACUUGUAUUUCUCGGACCUAGUCUCCGUCAGGAUGCGAAAAGACCAGUCCCUAGCCGUGGAUUCUUCCUUCACCGGUAAGAAUCAAUCAUUGUCGCCCUCUUCUUCAAGCCACUUCGAUACUCGCGUUUCCGAUGCGAAAUCUGCUCAUUGCUCAUGCUCGUCCUCUCCUCCGGGGAGCACUCGGUCGGCUUACCGGCUUCAAUUUUUUAUAAGAAUGAUUUCCGAUGGCAACCACAUUGUUAUACAUGCCAAUUCGGACGACACGGUGAAAUCGCUUCACGAGCGGAUUCAGGCAAUCACGGGAAUUCCGGUUAUCGAGCAGAGACUAAUUUAUAAGGGGAAACAACUGCAAUGGGAGCAGUCACUGGCGGAGUGUUCAAUUCAGAACGACGCUGGGCUUCAUUUGGUGGGGCGGAUGAGAAGUACCAAGCACCCCCAGACUUGUCAGCUUAUCGAUGACAUUGUAUCGUUUAUUUCUCGGCUUUGUAAAACAGGAUUGCCUUGCCAUCUUAACGCGUCAAAACAUAUCAAAAGUUUGAUAAAUGAAUUCUUUACUCUAACGCCCAAAGAUGACAACGAGACAGCAAUUGGGCAUCUUCAGAUUUUUAUGUCAUCCUCAACUCCUGCUGCUUUGGUAAUGCUUUAUGUUUCAACCAUUAAAGGCAAUAAGGAGUGUGCGGAGAGUUCAAUUAAGUAUUUUUUGAAUUCAUGUAGGAGUUCAUUGCCAAAGCCUUUGCAUACACAGUGUGCACCUAUAGUAUUAGAGUUUUGUAAGUUGCUUAGGAAGGUGGCUUAUGAUGACCCUUUGUAUCUCUCUUGCCGAAGUACCCUUGGGUCAUUGUUGGAGACUAUGGGAAUAUCACGUGGUUUGUCCAAGUAUGAUGGUGGGGAGGAUGUAAAGGGAUUGAUUGUGAUACAGGACAUUUUCCCGUUUGUUAAUGAGUUAGCUAAUAGGUUGUCCAGGGAUUUGGUUUUAAGUAUGGAGUCUACUACCAGCACUGGGCCAGGGUCAAGUGAUGUUCGGGACUUUUCAGCCUUCUUGCUCCCUUUGCAUACGACUAUUACAGAACACGUGGGUUUUCAGGGGCCCAUUUCUGUGCCUUUGAACAAGAGAGGUUUUAGUCAUACAUUAUAUGUGGAGGAAAUUGAGCAACUUCAUGUUAUAUUUAGUGAUUUGCUGGUAAAAAUGGACAACUGUCUUACCAGAAUGGAGAGUUGCUUGCCUUUGAAACCAAAUGGAGAAGGUGAGUCUAAUCGCACAGCAUGGUCUCAAUACCUUGCCAUUUUGAAGGAACUGAAUAACAUUGCCAAACUCUAUAAAAAUGCUGAAGAACAAUUUUGGGCGGUUUUGAGGCUUAGGAAAGCUUCUCUAUGUGUUCUAAUUGUUAAAUAUGCAAAGCGAAAUGAUGAUCAUCAAUGGCUUCUUCAGCAUAAAGAUGUGACUGAUUUUGAGUCCCGAAGGCAUUUGGCCAUGAUGUUGUUCCCUGAGGUUAAAGAAGAUUAUGAGGAGUUGCAUGAGAUGCUCAUUGAUCGAUCACACUUGUUGGCAGAGUCGUUUGAGUACAUAGCUAGAGCAGACCCUGAGGCAUUGCAUGGUGGUCUAUUUAUGGAAUUUAAAAAUGAGGAAGCUACUGGUCCUGGUGUGUUGCGGGAGUGGUUUUUCUUGGUCAUCCAAGCAUUAUUUGAUCAACAAAAUGCCCUUUUCGUUGCAUGUCCAAAUGAUCUGAGAAGAUUUUAUCCUAAUCCUGGCAUCAUGCUACACCUUCCUAUCAAAUAACCAAGGAUGACCCAAAAGAAUGCAGCAAGCUUAAAGAGGAAGAAUAUCACAUUGCAACUCGUGAACUAGCCCACCAAUCUACAUCUAAGGUGGAUCCCAUGCACCUUGAUUAUUUUACGUUCUCUGGUCGAGUUAUUGGGCUAGCUUUGAUGCAUAAAGUGCAAGUUGGCAUCAUCUUUGAUCGUGUGUUUUUCUUGCAAUUGGCUGGAAGGCAUAUUUCUUUGGAGGACAUACAUGAUGCAGAUCCAUACUUAUAUAAUAGCUGUAAGCAGAUUCUUGAAAUGGAUGCUGAUUUUAUUGAUUCGGAUGCUUUAGGAUUAACAUUUGUUAGAGAAGUUGAAGAGUUGGGAUCAAGGAGAGUUGUGGAACUUUGCCCGGAUGGGAAAAGCAUUUCUGUAACUAGCAAGAAUAGAGAGGAAUAUGUCAAUCUCCUCAUUAGGCAUCGCUUUGUGAUAUCAACCUCUGACCAGGUGUCCCGUUUUGCACGAGGUUUUGCUGAUAUCCUUUGUAACUCAGGACUCCAAACAUUCUUUUUCCAAAGUUUAGAGCUCGAAGAUCUUGAUUGGAUGCUAUAUGGAAGUGAAAGUGCUGUCUGUGUAGAAGAUUGGAAGGCACAUACCGAGUACAAUGGCUACAACGAAACUGAUCCCCAGAUAUCCUGGUUUUGGAAGAUUGUGGAGGGAAUGUCUGCAGAGCAGAGGAAGGUUCUUCUCUUCUUUUGGACUUCAGUGAAAUAUCUACCAGUCGAAGGUUUCCGUGGUUUGGCAUCAAGACUUUACAUUUACAAGUCCUCAGAGCCACACGAUCGGCUUCCAUCAUCUCACACAUGCUUUUAUCGGCUGUGUUUCCCACCUUAUUCCUCCAGGGCUGUCAUGCAAGAUCGACUAAAUGUCAUCACCCGAGAACAUGUCGGCUGCAGCUUUGGUACUUGGUGAAAUAUUGGAGUUAGAUCUGCCUCUGGCAUAAAAAGGGUUUUAAAUUGCACAUAGAAAGAUUGGUACUCAGCUUGUACAGAUAGGAUCAUGUCAUCGGUUUUCAUUAGACUAUGUAAGGUGUUUUAGUUAUUUAUGUAUCCUUUAGAAGGUUGUGAUGUCAUUGCUCUUUUUUGCCGACUGUUUAUAUAGGUAUAGCGUAAAUAAUGGAAGGGGAGAAGGAAUAAGCUUUCUCUUCUCUGCUUCUAUAUCUACUUCCUUCUCUAGCAACAGCACCUGCUUUGCAUGACCUGUAAGUACACAGAUUACGCAAUGACAUCCAAAUCAAUACACAGAUUAGAAUCUCUAUUUCUCUCACUUGCUUGAGCUCUCCUGUUGUCUUUUUUUAAAUGCACAGUAUGAAAGAUCUAAUGAUUUCUCUUGCCCGGAAAAGAAUGUUUCAAAUGCAAUCAAUGUACAAUGGUUAUCAUGUAAUGCUUUUCUCAUUGUUUACCUGAGAUAAUUUUUUAAUAUCCAUACAACAGCUGAGUGUUGCCUUUUC
rnacentral:misc_RNA from 1 species